CGCACUUUGCGAGCCAAUUUAUCUGCGUUUAUAUCCGCACUUCUUGGAAUAAGAGAUAAAGGGAAGGUAGAAAAUUCUUCCUUGUCGAUAUUGAUGUCAUCCAGGCAAACAAAGAAAGUCGGCCACUCGGAAGGGAAAAAAGAGACCAUCUUCACCAAAUCAGAACACUCUGUGAAACAAAUAAUGUCUCUGAAAUUAUGAUCAAUCAUACAUCGCAUCUCCCACACCAAUGCCUCAUCCUCAGCAUGAAGAGGAGUGAGACUGCGACAGAGAUUUGAAGCCCCCAUAAUCGUGUACCCAUCUUGAACGCGCUGGCAAUGCUAGCCUAAGCCUGAAUACUUAUCCGUAUCCUUCCAGGAGCCAUCUAUAAAACACUUAUAGCCGGUAAAUACAGAUGGCAAGAUACAUGAUCGCUUAUUCGCCCUCGAGUUAUCAGCUGGGGGCGCCUGUGGAGCACCCAUGUCUUCUGAGCUGCCUGUGGAGCACCCAUGUCUUCUGAGCUGCCUGCCAAGCACUGGCUUCU
rnacentral:lncRNA from 1 species